rnacentral:rRNA from 1 species
AGAGUUUGAUCCUGGCUCAGGAUGAACGCUAGCUACAGGCUUAACACAUGCAAGUCGAGGGGCAGCAUGGGGUGGCAACACCCCGAUGGCGACCGGCGCACGGGUGAGUAACGCGUAUCCAACCUACCCCACACUCUGGAAUAGCCCUCUGAAAGGAGGAUUAAUGCCGGAUGUGCUUGCGAGGGGACAUCCCCUUGCAAGUAAAGAUUCAUCGGUAUGGGAUGGGGAUGCGACUGAUUAGGUAGUAGGCGGGGCAACGGCCCACCUAGCCGACGAUCAGUAGGGGUUCUGAGAGGAAGGUCCCCCACAUAGGAACUGAGACACGGUCCUAACUCCUACGGGAGGCAGCAGUGAGGAAUAUUGGUCAAUGGUCGAGAGACUGAACCAGCCAAGUAGCGUGAAGGAAGACUGCCCUAUGGGUUGUAAACUUCUUUUACAGGGGAAUAAAGUGCGUCACGUGUGGCGCAUUGCAUGUACCCUGCGAAUAAGCAUCGGCUAAUUCCGUGCCAGCAGCCGCGGUAAUACGGAAGAUGCGAGCGUUAUCCGGAUUUUAUUGGGUUUAAAGGGAGCGUAGGCGGGCUUUUAAGUCUGCGGUUAAAUGUCGGUGCUCAACGCCGUCAUGCCGGGGGAAAACGGAGGGUCUUGAAUACACACAAGGAAAGUGGAAUUCGUGGUGUAGCGGGGAAAAUGAUUAGAAAUCACGAAGAACUCCGAUUGCGAAGGCAGCUUUUUGGGGGGUGCUAAUUGACGCUGAGGGUGGAAAGUGCGGGUAUCAAACACGAUUAGAUACCCUGGUAGUCCGCACAGUAAACGAUGAAUGCUCGUCCUUGGCGACAGACAAGUCAGGGACCAAGUGAAAGCAUUAAGCAUUCCACCUGGGGAGUACGCCGGCAACGGUGAAACUCAAAGGAAUUGACGGGGGCCCGCACAAGCGGAGGAACAUGUGGUGUAAUUGGAUGAUACGUGAGGAACGUUACCCGGGCUUGAUAUUGAGGAGGGAUGGCGCAGAGACGGGUCAGUCAGCAAUGACCUCUAUGCAGGUGCCGCAUGGUUGUCGUCAGCUCGUGCCGUGAGGUGUCGGCUUAAGUGCCAUAACGAGCGCAGCCCUUGCUGCCCGUUUCCCUCAGGUUUUGUUGGGCACUCUGGCGGGACUGCCAUCGCAAGAUGUGAGGAAGGCGGGGAUGACGUCAAAUCAGCACGGCCCUUACGUCCGGGGCUACACACGUGUUACAAUGGGGGGCACAGAGAGCAGCUUGCCGGCGACGGCCGGCGAAUCUUGAAAUCCCCUCUCAGUUCGGCCUGGAAACUGCAACCCGCACUCCACGAAGCUGGAUUCGCUAGUAAUCGCGCAUCAGCCAUGGCGCG